rnacentral:rRNA from 1 species
GUCCAUCAAAGACUNAAUAUCAGCGAGAGACCGAUAGCAAACAAGUACAGUGAUGGAAAGAUGAAAAGAACUUUGAAAAGAGAGUGAAACANUGCGUNAAAUUGGGGNNAGGGNAGGCAAGGCCACGAC